CUGGAGACGGCCGGCCAAGCCCGCGCCAUGGCUGGAAGAGUUCCCGCCCUGCUCUGCGAGCGCCCUCAGUCGUCCUCAGUGCGGCCGCCAGAUAUAGCCUUGCAAGACUCUACACUUGCUAGAGAUGAGAACGCAGAGGCAAAGAUUAUGGCUGCUGUGACUCUUUCAGUUGGCCCUCUGGUAAGCUAGGGUCUUCUCUUUUCCUGACUGGCCAUACUAGUUUGAGAGCAUGUCUACAUUUCCUGAAGUCUGUG
rnacentral:lncRNA from 1 species